rnacentral:rRNA from 1 species
GACGAACGCUGGCGGCGUGCUUAACACAUGCAAGUCGAACGGAAAGGCCCUGCUUUUGUGGGGUGCUCGAGUGGCGAACGGGUGAGUAACACGUGAGUAACCUGCCCUUGACUUUGGGAUAACUUCAGGAAACUGGGGCUAAUACCGGAUAGGUGCUCCUGCUGCAUGGUGGGGGUUGGAAAGUUUCGGCGGUUGGGGAUGGACUCGCGGCUUAUCAGCUUGUUGGUGGGGUAGUGGCUUACCAAGGCAUUGACGGGUAGCCGGCCUGAGAGGGUGACCGGCCACAUGGGGACUGAGAUACGGCCCAGACUCCUACGGGAGGCAGCAGUGGGGAGUAUUGCACAAUGGGCGGAAGCCUGAUGCAGCAACGCCGCGUGCGGGAUGACGGCCCUCGGGUUGUAAACCGCUUUCGCCUGUGACGAAGCGUGAUUGACGGUAAUGGGUAAAGAAGCACCGGCUAACUACGUG